ACCCAACAAGGACAUCAAAAAGAUUAGAGAUGCCUUCGCAAGCCCUUCCUCUAAUGUGAUAUAUACAUCAUUAUAUGCCAGCAGUAGGCCUCUGGAUUUUAUGUAAGACAAUUAGGUAAAACUUUAUACGAAAGAAUUAAUGGACACAGUUUGACAUCAAGCUUCAGAACAAGAAUAAAGCAAUAUCACAGCAUUUCAAUCUCUCAGGUGAAGAGUUGACAGAUGAUUGCCUGAUCAUUCUGACAGUACAUUUCUGAACAACCCCAGGAUUGAGAGUAGA